rnacentral:snoRNA from 1 species
CUCCUCCGGAUUCCUUAUCCUUCGGACUUAAAUACUGGUCUGAGCGACUGAGAAACAGGAGGAAAAGGAAAACGGGCCAGGACCUGGAGUCUUUCGUGACAUCGAAGUUCGUUUCAAACGUGU